GCAGCUGUGUAAACCUCUCACUCUGAGUUCAAUCCCUGGAUCUGAAAUAAAAACCCAGAAGCACACCUGUAACCCCAGCUGUCUGACCCCGAGGGAUGAGGCAGAAAGAGAACUGGGCUUGAAGGCCAGCUAGCCUGGGGUCUGAAGCCCAGAGCAAGGGAGACGCUGCCUUUAAAAAGGAGACAUGGACUCCCGCAGUUGUUUUCUGACCUCUACAUUGGAGCUGUGGCAUGCAGGUGUCCACAAACACGCACUCACAAUAAACGGAUAAAUGAAUAAGUAAAUAAGUAAAUAAAUAAAUAAGUUGAAACAGGGAGUGGCUUAGUUGGUAAAGUAUUUGCUUUGCAAACUCAGGGAACUGGAGCUCAGUCCCCGGAACAGGAACACACUCUAAGAAGCAGAAGCUGCGGAGGCAGAGGCGGGAGGGGCCUUGGGGAUCUGUGCCCACCUGGGCUGGCUUACUUGCUAAUGUCCAAGCCAGGGAGAGACCUUACUUUACAAAGCAAGGAGGCAGGCUCCUGGGGACAAUCAGGGUCAUCCUCUAACCUCCACAUUCAUGCAUAUGUGCAUGAACAACCAACCACACAUGCCCACAAGACACACCCAAGCACAAGUGUGCACACACAAGCACGCAUGCACACCCACAAGGGAGAAGGAGGCCUGCAUGUUGGGUUGUUCAGUUAUGGUUCUGCACUGCCUUGCACUCACAAUAUUUUACACUUCUUUGACACUGUGAAUUGAAGUUGCCUGGUAUUGGUGGUUGAGUGUCAGUCAGCAUUUACCAGCUUACAAACACUUUCCUCUGCCUUAAAGGUGAGUGAAGACAGGUAGGCUCCUGAUAGCCAUGGUGACUUGUGGUUAAUAUCAUUACGCUUCUGGUUUGGAUUAUGGCUGCUAAUUAGUUUCUGUCCUUAACUUUUUUCCAAUUAAAGCACCAAGUGCUUGGUGCUAAACACCUGGGCAGAUUACCUAAUUAGAUGAGAGAAACAUACACAGUCAUCCACAGGUAAUUAUUUUAACUUGUGCGCCUUGCCUCUGGCAAAGCUCGAGAGGAAAUUGUAGAGUUUCUGCCUUAGUGGUUCUAGCUCCUGGGUGAGGAAGCUGAUGCCAGCCUUCUAUCUGGGGCCCAGCCCUUUCCAUAUGUUAAUGUGUGCAGAAGGUAAUGACUGUCUUUUCUCUCCUCUGGAGAGAAGAGAAAACAUACAGGCCAUUUGGCCCUGCUCUGCCUUCCAAAGCUCCUCCCAGAGGCCAGUAGAACUCAGUGCUUUCUGGAUGGACGAUGUUCUGGAGCAUUCUUGAAGGCCUGCUAUUCGUCCUGCUUCCCAGUAACACUGGAGGUGGGGUGGGGAAACCUCAAGGCUCUGAGGGCCUCUCUUCUCUACAACUCAGAAUUGCAAACCCGAUCCCUAUACUUUAUAUUCUUUGAAAGGAAAGGAAAAUGAUCAUAGUCAUUGGGGUUCCUUUAGACACCUGAGUGAUACCAUGGAUCAGCACAGCCAUAGGGAAAGCACAAGAUAGCCAUUGCUGGUAACCCAUAAGCUGCCUGAGAUGGCUUAGAAUCUGCCAGGGGAUCAGGAACAAAGCACGUUGCAGUCAGUCGGGGUCAUCUCAGCCUCAUCUGGUCUCUGAAGACUAACCCAGAGGCUUCCUGGCCACUUCUAAGCAUAUAACAGCCUUGGCUCAUACUCUUCCUUCAACUGCAUCCUCCACUGUAUCUCCAUCUUCUUCCCUUAAGAGGCCUGUCCCCCUCAGCCCCAUCACUAAAAUGAAGGGAAGCCCUGUGACUCCAUAGUGAGCCUUCGAGAGCCUCACUGCCCACCGUACUCCCUCAGCUCUGAGACUAUGACAAAACUCUUCAUCUGGUGUCAAAUACUGACAAUGAGCAAAUGCCCUUCUACCUAGCUUCAGCUCAGCUAGAAGAAGGGAGGACAGCCUGUCAGGAACCAUACAUAUGUGUGCAGAAGCCAUGGAGUGAUACCAGCUGUGAAAGAGAGCCCCGGUCACAAACACAGCAUCCCCAGUGAGUGGUACCCACUGUAGAGAGAAGUUGAAGCUCAGACUGGUCAACAGCUGGGCCAUUCUUAAUCUCCCAUGUGGCCCGUAAACCUGUUGUAUUCCUUCUCUUUAUGGUUAUCACAGUGACUUUGAGACAGACAAAUACCAGAGGCACAGGAAGGCUAGCAUGGUUGACAUAGAAGUCUAGAUCUGAGGGCCCAGCACACAUGGAGAACACAUGAGUAACACCCAAGCAUGUGGUCAAAGGAGGGACACAAAGCUGACUGGAGACAGCUCAGUGUUGGGAGUGGUGGUGCCCUGCUUUGGAUUCAGUUCAGGGUUCUUCAGGGAUGUAGACGUGGGUCAGUCAAUGGGAAACAGACCUUAGGACAUUUGGUGAAGCUCUGAAAUGGAUCUCUCAGACAGAUAUGGCUCAACAAAUUAUCCUAAGUUGAACAAUAUAUUUUAGCAACACUUAGCUUUGAACCUGAACACGACACACACAUAUAUAAUAAAAUAAUAUAUAACAUAUAUAGUGUUUGAGACAAGGUCUUGUUAUGUAGCCUUGACUGGCUUGGAACUUGAGGGUCUCAAACAUGGAGAUCUGCCUGCCUCUCUGCCCUGGGGUAGAGGGUAAAGUGGAAGCCAGUACACCUGCCAAGAUGCCCAUUCUUCAUCAACACCACUGAGCUACUCAAUUACAGCCAUUUUGUCAAAGAGAAACCAUGUUUCUAUCCUGCUCUAACUUGAGUUUUUGUGUCCCUUCUGAGGUUUUCAUUGAAAUGUCAUCUCAGUGUAACAGUACUGGAAACUCUGGCUACAUAAAUAACACAAGUGGAGAGCUUCUUGGAGAGGGUUGGGCACCCAAGCUGAACACUUGAAGCAGGGACUUUGUCCCCUUCAACCUCUGCCUUUUGUCAUUUGAGGACAUGUUAUUCCUUCCUCCUUAGGAAACAGCAUUGGUAUGUUGAUCUUGGAAGCAGAGAGACCAAGCCCUAGUGGGUGGACGCCUUGAUCACAGACUGCUCAGCCUCCACAACUAUGGAGAAUAAACGGGAUAAUGUUCCUUCCCUACCCAGAAGCCACAGAAGACCACACACAAAGCCCAGGAGCCUCCUUUCCGGGUAUUAGACCAGAAGUCACCUCAGAGAUUCUGAAAGCACUGUAGGCUAUCGCUGCUGCUCUUGGUUGAACUUGCAGGUAAGACUCUACUGCUAAAGUCACCACGCACCUCGGUCACAGGACUCAGAUCAAGCUGUACUGACUUGGGUGUCUCCUCUCUGAUGACUGGCUUUCAUAGUGUUAUAAGGUGUUCUGAAAACUUCUGGGGAAGGAAGGUUACCAACGGUCCUGCCCAGCUGUAAAUCCUGCUGAUUACAACAAUGCCAGGGAGCAAAUGCUACAAUAGUGGCACCAGUAUCUUCUAUGUAACCAACAGAAUGUCAGUGUGUAACAGUGUGAGACCUGCCAAUAUGAGGUAACUCAUUACUGGUAUUGCAAUUUCUGGUACUACCUCAAGACCCAUGGCUGGAGAGAUCACAUAUCCUGAAGGAGAACGCACAAUUAUCAUUUUACUAAAUUGAUACAACACCCAACUGCCUCCUUUACCCUUUUCCUUACACAUAGAUAAGCCUAGCUCUUAUCCUGUAUCCAUGAAUUAAACAGACUAAUGUAGAGGGCCACGACUGUUCAAACCCACAGACUACCUGACUGUCAAGUGUCUAUCCCCAAAGGGGACAUCUAGAACACAACCUCUAUACCUGAGGCUCAGGACCACACUGGAAAGAUUACAGGAGCCAGAGACUCAGGAGGAGUGCUGCUAUACAUUUCUGGCAAUGACGGGGGCACGGCAAUCAUGCUCUCCAUGCUCUCCCAACAGCUGUGGUUAUCUGCACAAGACCUGAAUAAAACCAUGCCAGUCAACAACGCCAACAUGGGUUAGGGAAGGCCUCACAAGACCUCAGAUGAACUGAGGAGUCUCCCUGGCAGCUAGGUUGGGCCUUGAAGGUGUUUGGGUGAGGUUACCAUGGCAUAGGAAAGAAUUUAGUGAGCUUUAUUGCUGGUUCUUUGGAUAAUAAAACCUUGGGGCUCCCCAACAA